UUAGGGUAGGUAGGGUAGGGCAUUACCUGUUUGGUGUAUUACUCUUGUUGGACUACCUUGUUGCAUGCUGUAUUACGAGUGCCUACUAUUCUUUGUUUACUUUCCAUUGUAGGGGCAUUUUUAUGUCUUGCCAUCUUGUUCCAUGAGUUUUGUACGGUUGUGAUUACUUAUCUUAUCUUGAGCCGGGGGUCUAUCGAAA
rnacentral:lncRNA from 1 species